UCCGGCUUAGCACCGGCAGUCCCAUUAGAGUUCCCAACUAAAUGAUGGCAACUAAAGACGAGGGUUGCGCUCGUUGCGGGACUUAACCCAACAUCUCGCGACACGAGCUGACGACAGCCAUGCAGCACCUGUGCUGGUGUUCCGAAGAAGGGCCCAACUUUCGUCAGGCUUUCACCAGCAUGUCAAACCUAGGUAAGGUUCUUCGCGUUGCUUCGAAUUAAACCACAUGCUCCGCUGCUUGUGCGGGCCCCCGUCAAUUCCUUUGAGUUUUAGCCUUGCGGCCGUACUCCCCAGGCGGGGCACUUAAUGCGUUAGCUUCGGCACGGGGGGAGUCGACACCCCCCACACCUAGUGCCCAUCGUUUACGGCGUGGACUAC
rnacentral:misc_RNA from 1 species